AGUGAACGCUGGCGGUAGGCCUAACACAUGCAAGUCGAACGGCAGCACAGUAAGAGCUUGCUCUUACGGGUGGCGAGUGGCGGACGGGUGAGGAAUACAUCGGAAUCUACUUUUUCGUGGGGGAUAACGUAGGGAAACUUACGCUAAUACCGCAUACGACCUACGGGUGAAAGCAGGGGAUCUUCGGACCUUGCGCGAUUGAAUGAGCUGAUGUCGGAUUAGCUAGUUGGCGGGGUAAAGGCCCACCAAGGCGACGAUCCGUAGCUGGUCUGAGAGGAUGAUCAGCCACACUGGAACUGAGACACGGUCCAGACUCCUACGGGAGGCAGCAGUGGGGAAUAUUGGGCAAUGGGCGCAAGCCUGAUCCAGCCAUACCGCGUGGGUGAAGAAGGCCUUCGGGUUGUAAAGCCCUUUUGUUGGGAAAGAAAAGCAGCAGGUUAAUACCCCGCUGUUCUGACGGUACCCAAAGAAUAAGCACCGGCUAACUUCGUG
rnacentral:rRNA from 1 species